rnacentral:rRNA from 1 species
UACAGAGGUCUCAAGCGUUGUUCGGAUUCAUUGGGCGUAAAGGGUGCGUAGGUGGUUAGGUAAGUCGGAUGUGAAAUCCCGGGGCUCAACCUCGGAACUGCAUUCGAUACUGCUUGACUAGAGUACUGGAGAGGAGAUUGGAAUUUACGGUGUAGCAGUGAAAUGCGUAGAUAUCGUAAGGAAGACCAGCGGCGAAGGCGGGAUCUCUGGACAGUUAUUGACACUGAGGCACGAAGGCCAGGGGAGCAAACGGG